GGAAGAGGCAUACGCGGGAUCAACCGUUCAUCGCAUGAACGUUGUUUAAAAACCGUUUGUAGAUAGAUAAGGAUUAAAAACUUUUAAAUAACAUUAGAAGAUCAAAUCUUCAUCUUGUGCGGGUAGAUGAUCACCGCAAACUGAUGAUCGUGGUUUUUGGACGAAGGUUCGCUUGAAGCCGUUCAAGUGCCCGGCCUCUACGGGUAUCCACACGAAGCAGAAACCGAUCCAAACGUUCCAAUCUCCCCGGGGUGCUAGCUCCCUUGCAGAGAUAUGUUUUUGAUGGCUGAUCACCUCCCUUUCAAUCAACUCUUGAUUGUGCUUAGGAGGAGGAAGAAGAAGGAGGGAUCUUGAAGAAGAAUCAAAGCACCUUGCAGCCCUUUUCUUUUCCCUGCGUUGGAUGAAGCAAAGGAGGAGGGAGGAGGCUGCCGCCAACCUUUCUUCUUCUCACCUUUUUGCUGAUGGCGGCUGAAACCAAGAGGGGAGAAGGGUGGCCACGAGUUGGAGAGGAGGAGGG
rnacentral:lncRNA from 1 species